rnacentral:rRNA from 1 species
UCAGAGGAAUUUGUCUUUUUAUCGUCAUUACUCGUUUAUUUUCACUUUUUUUUUUAUUUUCUAUACCGCCGUCUUAAGAUAAACCCCCGAACUUUUGUCUCAAUCUCUUUUGACAAGUCAGGUCAAGGUGGAGAUUAUAAAAAAGUUUAGAUUAUUUAUUCAUAAAUGUAAUUUAAAGCCAGUUUUCUAAAGAUAACUGAAAUAAAGAUUUGAAAGUAGUCUUUAAUUAAAAAUUAAGAACGAACUUGUCACAGGUGUACAUAUCGCCCGUCACCCUCGUCUAAAGAUGAGGUAAGUCGUAACAUAGUUAGUGUACUGGAAAGUGCACUAAGGGGAAUUAAAAGCUUUAGCGUUUCAUUUACACAGAAAAGAGUGAUUAUUCAAUUAUCUUAAGUCUUAUUUAUUUAAAUCACUAUUCAUUUCCUUUUAUUUUUCUACUCUUUUUUUAAACCGUAAGGGGAAUAAGAUUGAUUCUAAGAAACUUUUUUUACCUUUUGUAUCAGGGUGAGUCAAACUUCUUCUUAAAAAAUUUAUUCCCGAAAUAAAAUGAGCUACUUUAUUUAUUAUAUUUUAUAGCAAAAAAAUAGUAAAAAUUUAGUAGAAGUGAAAUUCCAUACGUAUUUUCUUAUAUCUGGUUUUUUCAAAAAGUAUAAUUACUUAAACCUAAAAAGGGAUAAUCUUUUUUAAAUAUCUAUUUUCCAUUUUAUUCAUCCUCCUAGGAUUAGAAGUGUCUUCUAGUGUAAAAACUUUUAUUGUAACGCCCAGAUAAAUUUUAUUAUGAAAUAUUGUUCCUUUUUUAGGAGACAAUGAUUCAAUCAGUAAAGAUCUAUUUAACCCAUUCUUUUAAAUAUUCUAAAACUAUUUUUCUAACUUCUUUUCAUGAACUUGGCUAAGUUUUCUGACUGUUUACCAAAAACAUUUCUGAAUGUUUUUCUUUUCAGUAAGACCUGCUCAAUGAUAUUUUUCAAUAGCCGCAAUUUACGUGCUAAGGUAGCAUAAUCAUUUGCCUUAUAAUUUAAGGCUAGUAUGAAAGGUUUAACAUGAUAACUUCUUUGUAAAUAAAACUCCUAGAAUUUUACUUAUAAGUAAAAAGGCUUAUAUUUAAAAGGGGGACGACAAGACCCUAUCGAGCUUUACUACUUUAGUUGAACUGGGGUGGUAAAAAACCAAAUCUUUUCAUUUCGUUUCUUUUCAUCCUUAUAAUAAGAUUCCCAAGUUACCGUAGGGAUAACAGCAUAAUUUUUUUCUAGAGACCUUAUCUAAAAAAAAGAUUGUGACCUCGAUGUUGAAUUAAUU